rnacentral:rRNA from 1 species
UAAAAUUUAUUUAAUGAUUUUAAAUAUCUCGAAAAUAAGGGAGCUAAAUUUAUAUUAUUUUUUUUGUAGCAAUAAAAUUAUAAAUAUAGAUUUAGAAAUUAAAUGUUAAACGAACUUAUUAAUAUCUAGUUUUUUUAGAAAUAAAUUUAAUUUAGAUAUAAUUAUUUUAGUAAAUUAAAUUUUAUUUUAAUUUAUUAAUUUUUAUAUUAAAAAUUUAUGGGAUAAUCUAUAAAUUUAAGAUAAAAAUUUAAUUUUAAUUUUUAAUGUUAUAGAGAUAAUAUUUUUCUUUAAUUUUAAUAAUUUAAUAAUUUAAUAUUUAUAAAUUAAUAAUGAUUUAAAUUUAUAUUUUAUUUUUCUAUAAAAAUUUAUAUUUUAAUUAAUAAAAUAUAGAAAUAAUGAUUAGAUUAGUAAUAAAGUUAUAUUUUAUAAUGAUAUUUUGUAUUAUAUAAUUUAAAGGAAUUCGGCAAAUAUAUUAUUCACCUGUUUAUCAAAAACAUGUCCUGUUGAUUAUAAUUUUAGGUCGAUCUGCUCAAUGAAUUAUUUUAAAUAGCUGCAGUAUGUUGACUGUACAAAGGUAGCAUAAUAAAUUGUCUUUUAAUUGAAGAAUUGUAUGAAAGAAUUAAUGAAAUAAUAACUGUCUCUAAAUUAUUAAAUGAAUUUAAAUUUUUAGUUAAAAUUCUAAAAUUUAAUUAUGGGACGAUAAGACCCUAUAGAAUUUAAUUUAAUUUUUAAAUUUAUUUAUAAUUUUAAUAAAUAUAUUUAAGAUUAAAUUUGAUUGGGAGGAUUGGUAAAUUUAAUAAACUUUAUUUAAGAUUUAAUUUUGAUAUAAAGAUAAUUUUUUGAAUUAUAAAUUGUAAUUAAAAGAAUAAAUUACCUUAGGGAUAACA